UCUGUACCUAUCAGAAAAUAUGCUGCUCCCCCAUUUCUCCUUCCCUCCAGCCCCUGGAAACCACCAUUCGACCUUCUAUGGAUUGGACAACUCUAGGAACCUCUUGUAAAGAAAACAAACAACAAAUAGCCUUAAGGAAGAACUGAGUCCG
rnacentral:lncRNA from 1 species